AUGACGAAGAUGGGGGUUGAUGUGGUAUCUGAUGACUUUCUGGCUGAUCAAGCUGUAUGUUAUGUUCAAGCGAUACAGUGGAUUUUGCACUAUUACUAUCAUGGUGUUCAGUCCUGGAGUUGGUAUUAUCCCUAUCAUUAUGCACCUUUCCUAUCUGAUAUCCGAAAUAUCAGUACACUCAAAAUCCAUUUUGAACUAGGAAAACCUUUUAAGCCAUUUGAGCAGCUUCUUGCUGUACUUCCAGCAGCUAGCAAAAAUUUGCUUCCUGUAUGCUACCAGCAUUUGAUGACCAGUGAAGACUCACCGAUUAUAGAGUAUUAUCCACCUGAUUUUAAAACUGAUCUAAAUGGAAAACAACAGGAAUGGGAAGCUGUUGUAUUAAUACCUUUUAUUGAUGAGAAGCGAUUGUUGGAAGCCAUGGAGACAUGUAACCACUCCCUCAAAGAGGAAGAGAGGAAGAGAAACCGACAUAGUGAGUGCCUGAUGUGCUGGUAUGAUAAAGACACAGAGUUUAUCUACCCUUCUCCAUGGCCAGAAAAAUUCCCUGCCAUAGAACGAUGCUAUACACGGUACAAAAUAAUAUCACUAGAUGCUUGGCAUGUAGAUAUAAGUAAGAACAAAAUAACCAGAGUUGACCAGAAGGCAUUGUAUUUCUGUGGAUUCCCUACUUUGAAACACAUCAAACAUAAAGUCAGUGAUUAUUUAAUUCAUAUUUUUUCACUUUGUUAUGUGAAGUGAUUAUGCGAAGUGAAAUAAUUAACAUUAAAUUUUUUUAAAUUCUUUUAAAGUUUUUUUUGAAGAAAAGUGGUGUUCAAGUAUUCCAGCAAAGCAGUCGUGGAGAAAACAUGAUGUUGGAAAUCUUAGUGAAUGCAGAAUCUGAUGAACUUGUAAGUACUUUAUUCAUCAAGUCAUUUCUCAGGUGUUUAUUAUGUGUAAGAUAUUUUCUAGCUGCUGAGGUGUUUACCAAAGAGAUACAACAUGCUGUAAUUCACAUGAGCAGUCUUGAAAUCAUUAUUUUCAUAAAGUUAAUUUGGUGGCAGUAUCAUUGCACAAGAGAAUUUUUUUAAAAAAAGGAAAGCCUGCCAGUUUCUCCUUUGUAGCAUUAGUUGAUAAGAGCAUAAACUGUAGAAGUGACAGUAUAUCUAAUGAACAUGAUGAAAUGAAAUUGGCACGUUUUAUUAUUUGUUGGAAUAUAGGGGGUGAAAGAGGAAGAAAAUACUAAAUAUGACUGAGGUGUCUAGGCUAAUUAUCUAGAAAAGAACUCCAAUUUAUUGGAUUACAAAAGUUAAAAUAGAGGAAUUGCUGAUAGAUAAUAGUGGAAUUUUAAGGAGGUACUAAGAUGUUUAACUGAAGCUGCUCUAUCACCUUCUAUCACCAGUGUUCCACAAGAGAUAUAACCCCUAAUGUCUUGAGGCAUUCAUUGUAUAUAAUAAAUUAACUCAUCUUCUACGCAUCUUGAAUGAUAUUAGUUCCAGUUCCAUCCUUAGAAUUAAAAUAUUCUAAUCAUUUUAUUGUGUCCUGUAGUUCAGAUACAAAAACUCAGUUUAAAGCCAAGUAUAGUGAUGCAUGCCUGUAAGCACUUGGGAGGCUGAGGCAGGAGUGAUCACCUUGAGUUUGAGGCCAUCCUGGGCUGCACAGUUCAGUGCUAGCCAAUUUGGAGUACAG
rnacentral:lncRNA from 1 species